GAUGAACGCUGGCGGCGUGCUUAACACAUGCAAGUCGAACGAUGAAGCCCAGCUUGCUGGGCGGUUUAGUGGCGAACGGGUGAGUAACACGCGAGUAACUUGCCCUUGUCUCUGGGAUAAGUCUGGGAAACUGGGCCUAAUACUGGCUAUGACUUCUCAUCGCAUGGUGGGGGGAGGAAAGAUUUAUUGGCCUUGGAUGGAUUCGCGGCCUAUCCGCUUGUUGGUGAGGUAAUGGCACACCAAGGCGACGACGGGUAGCCGGCCUGAGAGGGUGAACGGCCACACUGGGACUGAGACACGGCCCAGACUCCUACGGGCGGCAGCAGUGGGGAAUAUUGCACAAUGGGCGCAAGCCUGAUGCAGCGACGCCGCGUGAGGGAUGACGGCCUUCGGGUUGUAAACCUCUUUCAGUAGGGAAGAAGCGAGAGUGACGGUACCUGCAGAAGAAGCGCCGGCUAACUACGUG
rnacentral:rRNA from 1 species